rnacentral:rRNA from 1 species
UACGGGGGGGGGCAAGCGUUGUUCGGAAUUACUGGGCGUAAAGGGCUCGUAGGCGGCCAACUAAGUCAGACGUGAAAUCCCUCGGCUUAACCGGGGAACUGCAUCUGAUACUGGAUGGCUUGAGUUCGGGAGAGGGAUGCGGAAUUCCAGGUGUAGCGGUGAAAUGCGUAGAUAUCGGAAGGAACACCCGUGGCGAAAGCGGCUCCUCGUGGAC